rnacentral:lncRNA from 10 species
ACAAAGAAAGAAAGACAAAAGACACCAAAGCUAAUUAUUUCUCUCCAAGAACACAUACAAAGGAAAGGUCUUGCAAGGCCAUAGCGAGAAGGUGGCAGUCUGCAAGUCAGGAAGAGAGCCCUCAUCAGAAACUGAAUCCCUGCCUACAGAAUGUGAGAUAUAAAUGUCUAUUGUUUAAGCUCCCUAUCUGUGGUACCUCAUCAUGGCAGUCUAAGCUGACUGAGACACAUGAAGAUCAGAGCUUAGAAGUAGGAACAGGCGAGUUGGGUGGGGCAGGCUGUUUUGUUUGCAGGACGUGUCUCAGCUCACAUCGGGUUGGUAGGUCUUCCUCUGCAGCUGUUGUGACCAUGAAGCAAGCAGGCCCUCAGGAACCUGGCCUUACUGCCAGGCCUCACAGGGGGAGUCGAGGGACAGGAUGGCCACUCUGUGUCCAGAACAUGGGUAACAACUAGUGAACAGGUCGAUGGGAGACUAGGGUGACAAGUGACUGGGAAGUCUGAAACUACUGAAGCCUGUGUGGGUCUACUGAAGGGAUUUGACAGGGAGACGAUAUGGUCCCAGCCAUGGAGAGGCCAGCCUGGGCUGCUCUGUGGUCCCCGAGACCCUGGCCUGAGGGUGCACCAGCCCCAGCAUCAAUCAGAUCUCAUGGUGUUUCUAGGAUUCAAGGCCCUCAUGGAGCCCCUGAAAGCAAGGCUCACUUUCCUAAGCUCUUCAAAGCUCAAGGAGCCAACGGCAGACCUGACACAUCCUGCAAUGCUCUCAGCAUGGGCCUGCUUAGCCUGCUCCCUCCUCAGCCAGUUUGCCCCAGAAACUAAAAAUAAAAUUGACAACAGAGGAGCAUUAAACAGCAAAAUCUAGCUGAGGGAGGAGCAGAGGCUUUGAACAAGGACAACUGGCACACACCGUGGUCACCUCUGGUUGUCCCGUCCUCCCUGGGCGUUGGGAGUUUAUGGAUGGAUAUUCACUGGAGCGCCUGCUCUGCCAAGAGAUAACUCAGCUUUCCUCUAAACCUCUGUGGUUUUAUCUCUUUUGUUUGUUUACUAUUUCUUCCUCCUCCCCUACAUGAGAAACAUCUCCCUGUAUCUCCAGUUCAAAUUCCCCAAAGCGAGAAUCUAAUUUGGUCUUCAGACCCUCUUUGAAGGGCUGCUGUCGUACAGGGCCAUUGGAUGGUCCUGCCAGCCUGCAAGCUGGCUGUCCUGGCUCCCAGGUAGUGACCUGUGGGCAGAGACCUUUUCCUGCAAGGGGGUGGUGAGAAUCCAGGCACACUGGGGCAAGCCUGCCCUGCCUGUAUUGGGCAGAAUGUACUCAGCUGCUCGCAAGAGAAUAGCCACAUACAAGCCGUCUCUAUUGCUGUGAGCUCAUUUUCCAUAGCAAGAAGCCUGCAGGUGGUUGGUCCUAGAACUCAGUGGCUCUGUGACCCCACAGAGGAUAUUUUUCCAUCUGCCAAGUGGCUGGACAGUAGUUGCAGCAGUUCAAUGAAUACAUCAAAUCCAAAGAUUUCCUUGAUGCUCCCCUACCCCCACCCUCAGGAGAUGUGUUGAUGUCUCUUUGACAAAAGAGAGCCACAGUCCCACCUCUAGCUGCAAGAGAAGCUGGUGGAGUGAGAAGCUGGUGUAUACAAUGUCUACAGGGGUAAGUGGAUUCUAAUGACAAGGGAGAUGAUGGAACAUUGUGUAGGCAAACGUCUGCCCUACGAAGUAAACAGUUAACUAUAGCGUGGUACUGCAAGCGCUAUAAUAAUUUGCUAAGACACUGAUAUGGUUUGGCUAUGUCCCCAACCAAAUCUCACCUUGAAGUGUAAUAAUCCCCAUGUGUCAAGGGCAGGGCCAGGUGGAGAUAAUUGAAUCAUAGGGGGCGGUUUCCCCAUACUGUUCUCAUGGUAGUGAAUAACUCUCACGAGAUCUGAUGCUUUUAUAAAGGGGAGUUCCCCUGCCCAAGCUCUCUUGCCUGCCUUCAUGUAAGACGUG